rnacentral:rRNA from 1 species
AUGUUGAUUGACAAAACUUGCUGGAAAUACAAGGAUUUGCCAAAGUCAAAGAAAAAUGAUGAAGCAGAGUCUCAGGGCAGCAUUGAUAUGUUCAAGCUCUGCAACUUGAAGCCAGCUUUGCCAACCACCUUUCAUGUGCCAGAUUUUAGCGACAAAGAUAUGUGUGAGAAGAUCAACUUUGCCAUUGACAAGAGCCUGUUCUUAUCAAGUGAUGCUGAAAAGAAUCAAAUUGACAUGGAGGAAGCAGGAAAGGGUCUUGACUGGGUUUAUUCAAAGGAAAAAUACAAGGAAUAUUUGAAGCAGCUCCCAGACCUAAGCUCCAGCAAGAGCAAGGCAGCAUCCAUGGCAAACCCUCACGUGGUCCAGAAGCGUAAAGCAGUUUCAAUGAAGAAGAAUCUGCAGUUGCCUCAAACCAAGGAGAAGAUGAUGAGUGCAGACGCUAAAGUAAAUAUGGUCAAGGAAGCUGUGCUUCAAACUGAUAUGCCAACUGUAGUGAGUAGAGAGCCAACCACCAUCACAGGAGUUCAGCAGAUCAAGGGGAAGACUCCCCUUUCAACAGUCCCACCAAAACCACCUAAGCAGCAAAAGAUUGUCAAGUUUGCCAGGGGCACAAAGGGGGAACAUGCCACAAAAGGGGUGCCAAGUUCUGCUAGGUUGCUGCCAACUCAGACUGGAAAGAUGCCAACUGCAGAUACCAGUGUGCCAACUGAUGUGUCAGUUAGCAGCGUUGUCACAAUCAAGACCACCACAGCUGCUCAGGAAGGCACCACUGCAACUGCAAGCCCCAAGGUGCCUACUCAUAGAGAUGCUUCAAUGCCAAACCCAAAAGGAGGUGAUCCUACUACCAAAGUGCCGUCCCCAAGAGCUAGCACACAGCAGCCAAGCAAGCCUGCAUCACCAAGAGCUGACUUUCAGCAACCAUUAACACAAGAGGAGGUGUUCAACAUUAUAAGUAGGUGCAAGCCUCCAAGGCCGCCAACUACAACACUAUUGCGAACCAAGUCAGUGAACGAUGCACCCGUUUUUGUGCCGCAAGGAGAUGCCCUGGUCCUUAAACCCAUACGAAGAUCAAAGUCUUAUCAUGGUGACGGGUUCUGCGAUGCACCAUCUUUUGACCUCGGCAUAGAUGGUGAUGCUCCAGCACCUGCUCCAGCAGCAGAAACAGUAGAAGCCGGUGUGAUUUGUAUUGAUGAGUGUGAGUUGGACCCAGCAGCUGUGAAUGAAGGAUGCGCUGCUGCUGAUGCUCGCAAGGCAAUAGCUCAAGAGCUAGAUGUUGGAUCACUAGAGAAUUGCCACACCCCGAUAUGCGCAGAACCAGAAGCUGGUCCGCAGCAUCUCAAAGGUCUCCAUUCAUUGACUACAACAAGAAGAAGACUUUCAGCUCCAAUGAGGCAUUGA